rnacentral:lncRNA from 1 species
AAAGGGGAGCGGGGGGCGGAUUGCGGCCUAGUUAUGGCGCGGGCUAGGCCCAUAGGGGAGCUAUAGAGGGAGAGACCACCAGAACCGAUAAUGAGACCCCAGCCCAUAAUGAGAGACCCCAGACCUUAAUGAGAGACCCCAGCCCAUAAUGAGAGACCCCAGACCUUAAUGAGAGACCCCAGACCUUAAUGAGACCCCCCAGACCUUAAUGAGAGACCCCCAGACCUUAAUGAGACCCCAGACCUUAAUGGAGCAGACCCUCAGACCUUAAUGGAGACCCCAGAACGCAUAAUGAGAAGACCCCCAAGACCUUAAUGAAGAGACCCCAGACCCUUAAUGAGGACCCAGACCUUAAUGAGAGACCGCCAGACCUUAAUGAGCAGACCCCAGGACCAUAAUGAGAGACCCCAGACCGUAAUGAGAGACCCCAGACCUUAAUGAGACCCCAGACCUUAAUGAGAGACCCCAGACCUUAAUGAGAGACCCCAGACCAUAAUAUGAGACCCCAGCCCAUAAUGAGACCCCAGACCUUAAUGAACCCCAGACCUUAAUGAGGAGAACCCCAGACCUUAAUGAGAACCCCAGACCGUAAUGAGACCCCAGACGUUAAUGAGAACCCCAGAAACUUAAUGAGACCCAGGACCUUAAUGAGAGACCCCCAGCCCAUAAUGAGAGACCCCAGACCUUAAUGAGAGACCCCAGACCUUAAUUGAGACCCCAGACCUUAAUGAGAGACCCAGACUUAAUGGAGAGACCCGCAGCCCAUAAUGAGAGACCCCAGGACCUUAAUGAGACCCCAGACCUUAAUGAGAGACCCCAGACCUUAAUGAGAGACCCCAGAUCUUAAA